GAUGAACGCUGGCGGCGUGCCUAAUACAUGCAAGUCGAGCGAACGGACGAGAAGCUUGCUUCUCUGAUGUUAGCGGCGGACGGGUGAGUAACACGUGGAUAACCUACCUAUAAGACUGGGAUAACUUCGGGAAACCGGAGCUAAUACCGGAUAAUAUUUUGAACCGCAUGGUUCAAAAGUGAAAGACGGUCUUGCUGUCACUUAUAGAUGGAUCCGCGCUGCAUUAGCUAGUUGGUAAGGUAACGGCUUACCAAGGCAACGAUGCAUAGCCGACCUGAGAGGGUGAUCGGCCACACUGGAACUGAGACACGGUCCAGACUCCUACGGGAGGCAGCAGUAGGGAAUCUUCCGCAAUGGGCGAAAGCCUGACGGAGCAACGCCGCGUGAGUGAUGAAGGUCUUCGGAUCGUAAAACUCUGUUAUUAGGGAAGAACAUAUGUGUAGGUAACUGUGCACAUCUUGACGGUACCUAAUCAGAAAGCCACGGCUAACUACGUGCCAGCAGCCGCGGUAAUACGUAGGUGGCAAGCGUUAUCCGGAAUUAUUGGGCGUAAAGCGCGCGUAGGCGGUUUUUUAAGUCUGAUGUGAAAGCCCACGGCUCAACCGUGGAGGGUCAUUGGAAACUGGAAAACUUGAGUGCAGAAGAGGAAAGUGGAAUUCCAUGUGUAGCGGUGAAAUGCGCAGAGAUAUGGAGGAACACCAGUGGCGAAGGCGACUUUCUGGUCUGUAACUGACGCUGAUGUGCGAAAGCGUGGGGAUCAAACAGGAUUAGAUACCCUGGUAGUCCACGCCGUAAACGAUGAGUGCUAAGUGUUAGGGGGUUUCCGCCCCUUAGUGCUGCAGCUAACGCAUUAAGCACUCCGCCUGGGGAGUACGACCGCAAGGUUGAAACUCAAAGGAAUUGACGGGGACCCGCACAAGCGGUGGAGCAUGUGGUUUAAUUCGAAGCAACGCGAAGAACCUUACCAAAUCUUGACAUCCUUUGACAACUCUAGAGAUAGAGCUUUCCCCUUCGGGGGACAAAGUGACAGGUGGUGCAUGGUUGUCGUCAGCUCGUGUCGUGAGAUGUUGGGUUAGGUCCCGCAACGAGCGCAACCCUUAAGCUUAGUUGCCAUCAUUAAGUUGGGCACUCUAAGUUGACUGCCGGUGACAAACCGGAGGAAGGUGGGGAUGACGUCAAAUCAUCAUGCCCCUUAUGAUUUGGGCUACACACGUGCUACAAUGGACAAUACAAAGGGCAGCGAAACCGCGAGGUCAAGCAAAUCCCAUAAAGUUGUUCUCAGUUCGGAUUGUAGUCUGCAACUCGACUACAUGAAGCUGGAAUCGCUAGUAAUCGUAGAUCAGCAUGCUACGGUGAAUACGUUCCCGGGUCU
rnacentral:rRNA from 1 species